rnacentral:rRNA from 1 species
CAGCAGCCGCGGUAAUACCAGCAGCCCAAGUGGUGGUCGCGAUUAUUGGGCCUAAAGCGCUCGUAGCCGGGCCGGUAAGUCCCUUGUGAAAGCCCUGGGCUCAACCUGGGAAUUGCAGUGGAUACUGGGUCACUAGAGUGUGGUAGAGGAUAGUGGAAUUUCCGGUGUAGCAGUGAAAUGCGUAGAGAUCGGAAGGAACAUCUGUGGCGAAGGCGACUAUCUGGGCCAACACUGACACUGAGGCACGAAAGCGUGGGGAGCAAACAGGAUUAGAUACCCCGGUAGUCCCUGUCUCUUAUUU